rnacentral:rRNA from 1 species
UACAGAGGUCUCAAGCGUUGUUCGGAUUCAUUGGGCGUAAAGGGGUGCGUAGGCGGCGCGGUAAGUCGGGGUGUGAAAUCUCGGAGCUUAACUCCGAAACUGCAUUCGAUACUGCCGUGCUUGAGGACUGGAGAGGAGACUGGAAUUUACGGUGUAGCGGUGAAAUGCGUAGAUAUCGUAAGGAAGACCAGUGGCGAAGGCGGGUCUCGUGGACAGUUCCUGACGCUGAGGCACGAAGGCCAGGGGAGCAAACGGG